GGCAGGUUACCCGAGGGGCCAAAGGGAGCUGACUGUAAAUCAGCUGGCAUCGCCUACGGGGGUUCGAAUCCCUCACCUGCCA
rnacentral:tRNA from 1 species